rnacentral:misc_RNA from 1 species
AAAGUCGUAACAAGGUUUCCGUAGGUGAACCUGCGGAUCCUACUGUGUUCGGUGUGAGUGUCUUGCAAUGGCCGUCCUACUGUGCUCCACUCCGUUGGAGACGUUAGAUUGUACCUGAGGUCUUCUCAAGUAGCUAGCAGUCGUGUCUGUGGCCGAGUGUUGUGUCCGCGGCGAUUGUGAGCGAAAAUGCAACCGAUUGAAUCACUCUAAGCGGUGGAUCAUUCGGCUCGUGG